rnacentral:lncRNA from 1 species
GGUGGAGGCCAGUGAGAUGGCACAGCACACGGGGCAGCUGGUCCUGCAGAACGGCUUUGCUGACAUCAUCACCGUGUACCAGCAGAAGGUGGAGGAUGUGGUGCUGCCCGAGAAGGUGGACGUGCUGGUGUCUGAGUGGAUGGGGACCUGCCUGCUGUUUGAGUUCAUGAUCGAGUCCAUCCUGUAUGCCCGGGAUGCCUGGCUGAAGGAGGACGGGGUCAUUUGGCCCACCAUGGCUGCGUUGCACCUUGUGCCCUGCAGUGCUGAUAAGGAUUAUCGUAGCAAGGUGCUCUUCUGGGACAACGCGUACGAGUUCAACCUCAGCGCUCUGAAGUAAGUGUCCACAGCUGGGACUGGCACCGUCUUGUGGGGCCUCCUGGUCCACAGUCUGCAGGUGGGCCAAGGCCCUGGGAGAUCCCAUACGACGGUUGGAUAAAUGAGGGUACCUGUGCACCCAGAUAGGACAAUCUGUUGUAGCAUUGGAGUAAUUAAAGCAGUAUGGUGCUAUAACAAGACAGAUGGGCAGAGCAGGGUAGAAUGCAAGGAACAAAAAUUUUCGUAUGUGAAAAAGGUGGCAUUACGAUUAGGAGGGAGUGAGGGCCAAGUCAGCAAAUUAUUCUGGAGCAGUUGAUUAGCCCUUGUUCUCUCACGCCAUACGUGAAAACUUAAUUCUGCAUGGAAUCAGCGUCAGCGACAGACAUCCAUGGGGGCCUGUGUGCACCAUCUUAGGUGGAGAAAUGAGCAGCAACAAUGGAUGGAAUGGACCCUGGGCUAGAUAGAAUCUGGCAGUCUAUGUGGCAGAAAUCAGCAAAAACACGAUUGUAAAAGCAAACAAGUAAUUAGAGAAAUCACGUGCUGUCAGGUCUUGGAAUCAAUUAGAAAGAGAUGACUAGCCAGAUGGAAUUGCAGCCCAAUCAUGUGAACAGGCAAACCGC